AAAAAAAAAUCAUUUUGGACAAUAUACGUUUUUGCAGCCCUCAGAUGUUCUGGUGUCGUUCUGUUUUCUUACAGCUGCUAAAUGGACAUUUGAUUAUUGAGUCCUCUGCCCUAGGACUCUGCUCCAGGGAAGAACUGAGAUGACAAAUCUUUAGAGAGCCAUCUCUUUCUGGAAUCAUAUGGCUCGCAGCUCCUGUUUGUUGAUGAAGACAAUUGGGAGUGCUGGAUUAAACACCACCCUCCCAUUCAGGGGGUGUACACACAGAGAGAUGUGGCUUUUUGCUCCCACGGUAGCCACGCUCUAAGCUGCCUUGUGGGGUAAUUGGCUUGGUGGUGAGUUUAGGAGUGUAAAAUGGUUUGCUUAAUGGUUACUGUUGAGAGAGCACAAAGGAUGGUGAAGGAAAUGUAACUUACAUUAAAUUUUUUGUUAGUUCUUUGUCAGAUAUGUAUAUUGUAAACAUUCUCUCCUAAUGUUUGUCUUGCGUUUUUGUUUUCUUUUCUUCUUUUUGAGACAGCUCUGUUGCCCAGCCUGGAGUGCAGUCAUGUGAUCACGACUUACUGCAGCCUUGACCUCCUGGGCUCAAUCAAUCCUCCUGCCUCAGCCUCCCAAGUAGCUGGGACCACAGGCCCACACCACCACUCCUGGUUAAUUUUUAAAUUUUUUGUAGAGAUGAGGUCUUGCUAUGUUGCCCAGGCUGGUCUCAAACUCCAGGGCUCAAGCAAUCCUCCCACCUGGGCCUCUCAAAGUGCUGGGAUUACACAUGUGAGCCACUGCAUCUGGCCUUCAUUUUCUUAAUGGUGUCUUUUGCUGAGCAGAAGUUUCAAUGCUGAUGAAGCCAUUUUAACUUUUUUUUCUCCUUUUAUAGCAACUGCUUUCUCUGACCCACAUAAGAAAUGUUGGCCUUCUCCAAAGUCAUCAGAACAUUCUCCCAUGUUUUCUUCCAGAAGCUUUGCAAGUGAUCUUUGAUGUUUAGGUCUAUGAUUCACCUCAAAUCAAUUUUUUUGUGUGUUUUGUGAUCUGAGUAGAGGUUUAUUUUUAAAGAUAUAAGUAGUUAGUUGUUACAGAACCUUUUAUUGAUAUAUGUAUCUCUAUUAAAUUGUUUGUGCACCUUGGCUAAAAAUUAGCUAUACAGCGUGUCUACUUUUGGACUUAAUACAUUCUCUUAAAUACCACUGUAGUAAAGUAAUAUAAUUUUCCCAACAGUAUUCUCCUUUUUCAAAAUUGUUUCAGAUUUUCUAAAUUCUUUGUAUUUGUAUCUAAAUUUUAGAAUCAUCUUACCAGUUUCUACAAAAAUGCCUUCUGAGAUUUUGAUGGAGAUUGCAUUGAAUCAACAGAUCGAUUUGUGAAGCACUGGCAAUAUGAUAACAAUGAGAAAACUGGGUCUGAGAAUCCAGAUGUCCUGAGUGAGUAAAGGGAAAAUUUUCACUUCUUCCUAUGGAAGCCUGUCACCCCCCAACUCCAUCCUAGGCUGAGGAAGUCUGCGUUCUUCUCUCACGGAGCUGGAGAACCUUUCAAGUGAUUGGCCUAAGAACAGGCAGGAGACGCGAUCUGGACCAAUCAGAAACUUACAUUGAGAUGGUGGGCCUUGCUAUGUUGCUCAGGCUGGUCUUGAACUCCUGACCUCAAGUGAUCCUCCUGCCUCAGCCUCCUUGAGUAACUGGAAUUACAGGUGUGUGCCAACUUGCCUGACUAAAAUGUUUAAUUUUUAUAAAUCUAAUCGUUAAACAUGACUAUAUAGCCAGCCUUAAUUCUAAGUGCCAAUAUUACAUAAAACGUAGUAAACUUUCGACUUAAAAUUGUAAGUCUAGGCUGGGUAUGGUGGCUCACGUGUGUAAUCCUAACACUUUUGGUGACGAGAAGGGAUGAUCUCUUGAGCCCAGGAGUUUGAAACCAGUCUGGGUAACAUAGAAAAACUCCCAUUUCUAAAAAAAAUUUAUAAAGUAGCCAACAGUGGUAGUGUGUGCCUGCAGUCCCAGCUACCAGGAGGCUGAGGUGGGAGGAUGGUUUGAGCCCAGGAGUUUGCGGCUGCAGUGAGCUAUGAUCGUGCCACUGCACUCAGACCGGAGUGAGACCCUGUCUCUACUGAAAAAAACCCACAGAAACCCAAAUAUAUAUAUAUAUUUAUAUAAAAAAGAUUUCAACAUAUGAAUUUUUGGGGGGAACAAAUAGUCCAUAACAAAUAUUAUAAGUACUAUAUUAUUAAUACUUCCAGAUUCCUUAAUAUCAAGAUAUUAGUAGUACAAGUUUCACUCUCUUAAAAAUUUCUUUCUUUCUUUCUUUCUUUCUUUCUUUCUUUCUUUCUUUUUUGAGAUAGGGUCUUGCUCUGUUGCCCAGGCUAGAGUACAGUGGCACAGUCUUGG
rnacentral:lncRNA from 10 species